GGUUCUUAUUUUUUCCUCAUUCCCCUGCUACAGAUUCAUUCUUUUCUUUACUCCCAAUCUUCUUUUGUUUUGGGGGGAUUUUUUUUGGUACUGGGAAUUGAACUUGGGACCUUGUCCUUUCGAGGCAGGUGGUGGAACCACUGAGCUACAUCCCCAGCCCCAACUCCCAAUCUUCUUUCUCCAUGCUCAGACCACUCUGCUCCAUCAUCUCAUGAAUGCCCCUAACCCCUAUCUUCAGGGAGGCAGAUUUAAGACUCAGGGCUCUGUCUUCUAAUAUUUGGCCACCUCACGCAUAAACUAAUUUUCUUGCAAAACUCAUGGUUUCAUUGAUUGGUAUACUGUGUUGUUGCACAGUGGGCUUUUCUAAGCAACAGCAUUUAGGGGUAAAGUAACAGAAUGCCUGAAAUUUGCCAGUGGCUUGACAUUGAUAACAAAUAGUAAAUAUAUGAGUGUUCGCACACAUGCGAGAGAGGGAAGAAGGAGGAAGAGAAGGAGGGAAGAAGAGAGAAAGGCAUGGAGAGAAACAGAACAAGAACAAAUACUAAUGAUAUAGGGCGUAUGACAUAGGGAUGAUAUACGGACCUCUAAAUAAUACAAAGGAAAAAUUAUAACUCCCAGCCUGCUAGAUGUCCGAUACACCAAGUUUGUGUUCUCUAAAAUUGAAGAAUGAAAUCUAGGAACAACAGAGGUUAUGAGUAAGAAACAUUUAUUGAGAGAAAGAGAGAUAGAAGGGAGCCCGGAAAGUGAGCCCUCAGACCUCACUGGGGUGUUUUGUUUUGUUUGGGUUUUUUUGGUACCAGGGAUUGAACUUGGGUCCUUGUGCUUGCACAGCAGGUGGCAAAACCACUGAGCUAAAUCCCUGGGCCUUGUUUUGUUUUGUUUUGAGAUAGGGUCUCACUAUGAACUUGAGGCUGGCCUUGAACUCACUAUGUAACCUAGGCUGGCCUCAAAACUCACAGCAAUCCUCCUGCCUCAGCCUCCAAGUGCUGGGAUUACAGGCAUAAGCCACCAUGCUAGGCGAGGACCCUGCUUUUCAGAGGAGUUUUAUAGAGCAAAACCAUGAGGUGAGGCAGGUAUGAGGUAGGACAAAACUAUAGUCAAUCAAUAAGAUUAUAAGUAUAGGGGCUGAGGAUUUAGUUCAGUGGUUCUGCCGCCUGCCUUGCAAGCGCAAGUUCCCGAGUUCAAUCCCCGGUACCAAAAAACAAACAAACAAACAAAAGAUUACAAGUAUAGUCUCUUAGAUAAUAUUGAUCCAAUGGAAAAAUCACAAGGUGGGUAUAAGGUGGGGCAAAACUGGUCAACCAGUAAGAUUACAAGUACAGUUGCUUAGGUAAUUUUUUUUUUUUUUUUUUGCUUAGGUAAUAUUGAUUAAAUGGUGAUCAAAUGAAGAGGCAAGUCACAUAGCAAGUGUACAUGGAAUGAAGAGAGUUUUCUGGGAAGGAAUGGGGUUAAAUUUGAAAGAUGAAGACACUGGCCCAAAGAAGUGAAGAGACUCCCCCAAAUCAGAAGCUAAUGAACAUUAAAAUUGUGUCUGAACCCCGAAGCCACUACAAGACAUAUGCCAAAACCUGGAAACGAAUUGGGUGAUGUAUUUCUAAGAAAAUGUAAACCUAUACAUUGCUCAUGGUUUCAGAGGACAUGUAACCCACCCACCUAGCAUCUAAGGCUGAGGAAUCUUUGGUAGGAUUUCAUGAAAGGGAUGGACCCAGUGUCCAGUCCUUUAUUUCUUUAUUUGUGUGUGUGUGUGUGUGUGUGUGUGUUAAAGGACUGAAUCCUAGGUCUUCACACUGAGACACAUCCCCAGCCCUCUAGCCCUCCACCUUUUUAUUUUGAGACAGAAUCUUCCUGAGUCAUGUGCCAUCAUUCCCAGUUGGUUUCCAGUUGAGAAGACAGGGCCCUACUUUUCUUUUUAACUGAUGGUUUAUAACUGUGUAAAUUUACAAGGUACAAAGUGAUGUAAUUUAUGAAUACAAUGUGGAAUAAGUAAAUCAAGCUAGUCUAUCCAUCACCUCAAAUACGUAACAUUUUUUCAGUGAGACUGGGCUUUAUUCUUUGUUAUUUUGAAGUGUACAAUGUUGUUAUUAACUAUAUGCUAUACAAUAAAUUUUUUGAAAAAUCCCUGCAGUUAUUGUGCUUAUCCCAGUUGCUCCUGCUGCUGCCCAAGUAAUCUGUGCGUUCCUGUGAGGGGGAGGCAGUGGCCACGUGUUGCUGCUCCGUAGGCACGUUCCCCUUUGAAAAGGAAUAAACCAGCAUUGUGUUUGUGCCACUCCCUGGGUAUUCCUACUGCGUUUUUCCUGAACUUGGUUAGCUCUGGGGCAGAGGAUCUGAAGAACUGAAAAGUGGAUUCUGGGUGAAUUUGACAGGAGUCGAACCUAAGGAGUUGUCUGUUCAUGUUUAAACCUAAAAGGAAGCAGAAACUAACGGCCACACAACAAAAGCUGCAGCACACAAUAAAUAUGAGUUAGUAAGAAACCAGAAAGAGAUGGGGGAAAGUCAAUUAUUUAAAUGAAACUAGACGGGAAGAAAAGCAGCAAGAUAAAUCACGUAC
ensembl:lncRNA